GCAUCAAAUGCAAUUAUCAUCAAACAUGUUUGUGGUUGUUUGCACUUAUCCCUAUGUUUGUUUUCCCCAGAAAAUGCUCUGUUUGGAUGCCGGGAAAAGAAUCACAGCUCGGGAUGCUCUCAAGCAUGCUUACUUUAGAGAUGUACAGAAUCCACCUUGAUUUCCUGAUGGCAAUCCCAUUCUUCUUCUCUGCUGUUGCAUGGACUGAGAGAGAUUGUAUGGAUCAUUGCCCAAGUUGUCAUUGAAUCUGGUUCACUUUUAGUGAAGCAGUUCAGACUGAUGAAAUGGAUGAUAAGUACCUUGUGCUUGAACUGAUAGGAAGAGGAUCCAAUGGCACGGUUUACAAGGCCUUUGACUGUGUCACCAGUAAAACUGUGGCUAUGAAAGUUACUCUGUUUAGGAAUAACAUUGUAGGUAUCCCAAGCUCGGUAAUACAAGAAAUCUCCCA